rnacentral:misc_RNA from 1 species
UUUCCGUAGGUGAACCUGCGGAAGGAUCAUUAUUGGGUUUUGAAACUUCAGGCUGCUGCUGGCUCUCCUCGGAGGGCAUGUGCACGCUUGUUGUCCAUUAUUUCUCCCACUGUGCACAAAUUGUAGACCUUUCAGUAGGCCUAUGUUGUUUUUCACAAUCUCUGAAUGUAAUAGAAUGGUUUUGAAUCUUGGGAAAUACAAUACAACUUUCAGCAACGGAUCUCUUGGCUCUC